GGCGGCGUGCCUAAUACAUGCAAGUAGAACGCUGAAGGAGGAGCUUGCUUCUCCGGAUGAGUUGCGAACGGGUGAGUAACGCGUAGGUAACCUGCCUGGUAGCGGGGGAUAACUAUUGGAAACGAUAGCUAAUACCGCAUAAGAGUAGAUGUUGCAUGACAUUUGCUUAAAAGGUGCAAUUGCAUCACUACCAGAUGGACCUGCGUUGUAUUAGCUAGUUGGUGGGGUAACGGCUCACCAAGGCGACGAUACAUAGCCGACCUGAGAGGGUGAUCGGCCACACUGGGACUGAGACACGGCCCAGACUCCUACGGGAGGCAGCAGUAGGGAAUCUUCGGCAAUGGACGGAAGUCUGACCGAGCAACGCCGCGUGAGUGAAAAGAAGGUUUUCGGAUCGUAAAGCUCUGUUGUAAGAGAAGAACGAGUGUGAGAGUGGAAAGUUCACACUGUGACGGUAUCUUACCAGAAAGGGACGGCUAACUACGUGCCAGCCGCGGC
rnacentral:rRNA from 1 species